rnacentral:tRNA from 1 species
GAUUUGGUGAUGAAAUAGUAGAUAUGCGAGACUCAAAAUCUAGUGCUAAAGAGCAUGGAGGUUCGAGUCCUCUUCAAGGCA